rnacentral:rRNA from 1 species
AGUUGGUGGAGUGAUUUGUCUGCUUAAUUGCGAUAACGAACGAGACCUCAGCCUGCUAAUUAGUUAAGCGAAUCAUCAAGAUUCGUGUUAAUACUUCUUAGAGGGACUGUUGGCUUUUAGCCAAAGGAAGCAUGGGGCAAUAACAGG